rnacentral:rRNA from 1 species
AACGAACGCUGGCGGCAUGCCUAACACAUGCAAGUCGAACGAGACCUUCGGGUCUGGUGGCGCACGGGUGCGUAACGCGUGGGAACCUGCCCUUAGGUUCGGAAUAACUCCCCGAAAGGGGUGCUAAUACCGGAUAAUGUCUUCGGACCAAAGAUUUAUCGCCUUUGGAUGGGCCCGCGUUGGAUUAGCUAGUUGUUAGUGUAAAAGCCUACCAAGGCGACGAUCCAUAGCUGGUCUGAGAGGAUGAUCAGCCACACUGGGACUGAGACACGGUCCAGACUACUACGGGAGGCAGCAGUGGGGAAUAUUGGAAAAUGGGCGAAAGAAUGAUCCAGCAAUGCCGCGUGAGUGAUGAAGGCCUUAGGGUUGUAAAGCUCUUUUACCCGGGAUGAUAAUGACAGUACCGGGAGAAUAAGCACCGGCUAACUUCGUG